GUGCUUGCUUCGGUAGCACAUAUACUAAAAUUGGAAUGAUACAGAGAAGAUUAGCAUGGCCCUGUGCAAGGAUGACAUGCAAACUUGUGAAAUGUUCCAUAUUUUU
rnacentral:snRNA from 1 species